UGACGAAAAACUAAAAAAGGAAGAUGUUGCCUUCAGAAGUUCUGAUAUUUGUUUAGUUAUGAAGUGGAAAGAUAGAAGGGAUGUAACCAUGAUCAUCACUAUGCACGAAAACAAAAUGAUAACUUUGGACAGGAUCGACCGUGCCACAAACGAGAAUGUCAAGAAACCAAUGUGUGUUGUGGAUUAUAAUAGUAAAAUGGGUGCCGUGGACCGUUCGGAUAUGCUCAUUAGCAGCAUUGACAGCUUGCGUAAGUCUAUCAAAUGGUACAAGAAAUUGUUUAUUCACACCCUGGACAUAUGUGUACUCAAUUCCCAUGGAAUGUUCUCUACAAAACAUCCUAUUAAAUAUCCACUUGCGAAGUUUCAACUGAACCUUAUACGUCAACUUCUGGAAAGAUACGGACAAGUGAAUAAACCCAUACCCAUGUCUGCUGAAACAAAUUCAAGAUUGUCUGAAAGGCACUUUCUAACCUUAGUACCUGCCACUGACAAGUCCAAAAGUGCUUCAAGAAGGUGCAUUGUCUGUUCCCAGACAAAGCUAGGCCAAAAGAAGCGAAGGGUGUCUAGAUAUAUGUGUAAAGACUGCGAUGUGGGAUUAUGCGUGGUUUCAUUUUCCAAGAAUUUCACACUAAAGCCAAAUUUUGAAUAUUUCAAAUAAAUUAGUUGUUUACUUUUGAUACUGUUUUAGUUUAAGUUGUUUUUAGUUUUAAGUUGGUUUUUGGGCAGACAAUAAACAUUAUUUAUUUA